rnacentral:rRNA from 1 species
CAAGUCGAGCGGCAGCGCGGGAGCAAUCCUGGCGGCGAGCGGCGGACGGGUGAGCAAUAUUUGGGAAUCUGCCUAUUAGUGGGGGACAACCCGGGGAAACUCGGGCUAAUACCGCAUACGCACUACGGUGGAAAGCCGGGGACCGCAAGGCCUGGCGCUAAUAGAUGAGCCCAAAUCGGAUUAGCUAGUUGGUGAGGUAAUGGCUCACCAAGGCUACGAUCCGUAGCUGGUCUGAGAGGACGACCAGCCACACCGGAACUGAGACACGGUCCGGACUCCUACGGGAGGCAGCAGUGGGGAAUAUUGGACAAUGGGCGAAAGCCUGAUCCAGCGACGCCGCGUGGGUGAAGAAGGCCUGCGGGUUGUAAAGCCCUUUCGGUGGGGAAGAAAAGCCUCGACCUAACACGUCGGGGUCUUGACGUAACCCAAGAAAGAAGCACCGGCUAACUCUGUGCCAGCAGCCGCGGUAAUACAGAGGGUGCGAGCGUUAAUCGGAAUUACUGGGCGUAAAGCGCGCGUAGGCGGCUUUGCAAGUCGAGUGUGAAAUCCCCAGGCUUAACCUGGGAACUGCUCUCGAGACUGCAUAGCUAGAGUAUGGGAGAGGGAAGUGGAAUUUCAGGUGUAGCGGUGAAAUGCGUAGAUAUCUGAAGGAACAUCAGUGGCGAAAGCGACUUCCUGGACCAAUACUGACGCUCAUGUGCGAAAGCGUGGGGAGCAAACAGGAUUAGAUACCCUGGUAGUCCACGCCAUAAACGAUGACGACUGGAUGUCGGGAGGGUCUGCCUCUCGGUGUCGUAGCUAACGCGUUAA